UCCUCCCAGCCUGGAACCCUCGUGCCUUAAUUUUUUUUUUACCCUUUUCUGAAUACCGUAGUGUCAUCUUUCUUACUUUGUCCGUUCUCCGGGCUCGAGAGCGUAUUUCCGGAGCCAUGUCAGAAGGAGUGGACUUGAUUGAUAUAUACGCUGAUGAAGAGUUCAACCAGGACUCGGAGUUCAACAAUACAGAUCAGAUUGACCUGUAUGAUGAUGUGUUGACGGCUACCUCACAGCCUUCAGAUGAUAGAAGCAGUAGCACUGAACCGCCCCCUCCUGUUCGCCAGGAGCCGUCUCCCAAACCAAACAACAAGACCCCUGCAAUCCUGUAUACAUACAGUGGCCUGCGGAGUAGACGAGCAGCUGUCUAUGUAGGCAGCUUCUCCUGGUGGACUACAGACCAGCAGCUGAUCCAGGUUAUUCGCUCUAUAGGAGUCUAUGAUGUGGUGGAGUUAAAAUUUGCAGAGAACCGUGCAAAUGGCCAGUCUAAAGGGUAUGCUGAGGUGGUGGUAGCCUCUGAAAAUUCUGUCCACAAAUUGCUGGAACUCUUGCCAGGAAAAGUUCUUAAUGGAGAAAAAGUGGAUGUGAGACCAGCCACCCGGCAGAACUUAUCACAAUUUGAGGCGCAGGCUCGGAAACGUGAGUGCGUCCGAGUCCCAAGAGGGGGAAUACCUCCACGGGCCCACUCCAGAGAUUCUAGUGAUUCUGCUGAUGGACGGGCAACUCCCUCUGAGAACCUUGUACCCUCAUCUGCUCGUGUGGAUAAGCCCCCCAGCGUGUUGCCCUACUUUAACCGUCCUCCUUCAGCCCUUCCCCUGAUGGGUCUGCCCCCACCCCCAAUUCCACCCCCACCACCUUUCUCCAGAAGCUUUGGUGUCCCCCCUCCUCCUCCUGGUCUCCACUCCCAGCAUCUCACUCCCCCUCCUCCUCGAUUACCUCCUCAUCUGGCUGUACCUCCCCCUGGGGCCAUUCCACCAGCCCUUCACCUCAAUCCAGCCUUCUUCCCCCCACCAAAUGCUACAGUGGGGCCUCCACCAGAUACUUAUAUGAAGGCCUCUACACCCUAUAACCACCAUGGCAGCCGAGAUUCAGGCCCUCCGCCUUCUACAGUGAGUGAAGCUGAAUUUGAAGAGAUAAUGAAGCGUAACAGAGCAAUUUCCAGCAGUGCCAUUUCCAAAGCAGUGUCUGGAGCCAGUGCAGGGGAUUACAGUGAUGCCAUUGAGACACUACUCACAGCCAUUGCAGUUAUCAAACAGUCUCGAGUCGCCAAUGAUGAGCGUUGCCGGGUCCUCAUCUCCUCUCUUAAGGACUGUCUUCAUGGCAUAGAGGCCAAGUCAUACGGUGUGGGUGCCAGUGGAAGCUCUUCCAGGAAAAGACAUCGGUCCAGGGAGAGGUCACCAAGCAGGUCCCGAGAGAGCAGCAGGAGGCACCGAGACUUGCUUCAUAAUGAAGACCGGCAUGAUGAUUAUUUCCAAGAGAGGAACCGGGAGCAUGAGAGACACCGGGAUAGAGAACGGGACCGGCACCACUGAGAAAGGGUGUUUACUUGAAAUAGAAUCAUUCUCACUUCAUCCAUAUCCUCCUGGUCCAUUGAAAACUGGGCUUUCUGUUCAAGUUUGAUCCUGCUUAAAGAUUCAGCCAAUUGAGAUGGUACAUGCCUGUAAUCCCAGCACUUGGAAGACUAAGGAGUCUGGGUGGAACCAAAUUGUUUUUAAUGGACUGGGCAUCUCCUCACCUUGAACAGGACUAAAGGACGGAGGCCGCUCCACCCCUUUCCCCUCUUCCAAACCCCUAACUUCCUCCAGGCAAUACCCUCUGCCCUACAGGAUUGAAGAUGGCUUGGCAGCCCUCCCAAUCCCACACCUCCUGUUUGCCCGAGGGGAAGAACCUAAAGACUUGAUGGGGUAGGGGAUGGGGGCAGACAGAAAGACAGCAACAUGUCCAGCCCCUAGUCUCCAUAGAGAACGGUGCUUUGUCUGAGGAAACCUGAGUUUCUGAUUCCCCCGGAGCAGUCAAUGGUGAGAUUACUGGGAAAACUUACUUCCCAGAGAAAAUGGAGAUCCUCUUUGUGGGAUCUUAGGAGAGUGACUGACUGGGUGUGCCAAAAAUGCCCAGGGUUCUGCCCUUGGUACUAGAUUUGGUGGGGGCAAGAGGGUCCAAACCCUGCUAACAUACCACUUCUUUGUUCAACUCCUUUACCUUCCUGGCCCUUUGAGGAGGGACCAUGAGAACAGAAACUACCUUGUGACAAGCUGCUGUUCUGGGUUUUCUCUUCUCACAUAUUGACAGUUUAUUUCCCUGGCCUUCUAGAGGGCUGAAUCCUUUUGGCUCCUUGCUAUCUGACUCCUAGUGGACUUGCCCCUCGGAAGCAAAACCCAGAAGGUUGCUUUCUCCUGGAAACCUAGCCAAGCCAGUUACCACCAUUUGCUGCUUCAGGCUCAGUUGUCUGUUGCAAUAACCAGCUCUUAGGUAUUCCCUUUCCCUGAGGCUUUCCAUUUAACAUGGAAUCCUUCCCCCAAGAAGGCUUCUUCCUUGUUUUAGAGGAAGAAGGUACUGCCUUUGGAACAUAGGGAUGUCAUGGGACCUCAAUAAUGAGGACCCCUAGUUUGUUAAGUACCAGGAGUGUGGGGAAGAAAGCAAUUUGAGCAGGAUGUGGCCUACUCGCAUGGGCUCUUCUUUUUCAGGUUUGAUGUAAGCUUGGGCUUGCAUCCCCACGGUACAUACUUUGACUUAUUGUGGGAUAACUCAGCACUAGUAGGCAGGUAAAGUCACAGAUGUGGUGUUUUUUUUUUUGUUUUUGUUUUUUUUUUUAAUCCUUUACUAUAAUACUCCCCUUACUUGGCCUGGAGGUGCUUCCUGCCUUUGACAAAGAGCAGAGAAGAAAUGGAGCCUGACUUAAGUGAACUCAGCUCAGAGUUCUAAGGACCAGCACAGUGGUAGCUGUUUUCUGCACAGACCAAUGGAAUUGCUUUUCUCAGCAUCCAAAUUGUGAUAGGUUGCUCCUGCAGGAGGCAGCUUCAGUCCUGGAAUACCAUAGGGUGAUGUUCCUUCUGCAUGCAUCUGCAGGGUCUGUGACAUAUAAUGUGGAAAGACAUGGCAUGUGAGAUGAGACUUGGUUUGUGAGGCAUAGGGUCACUGGAGAACCAUCAGACUCAAGAGGGGAGAGACUGAAUUGGAUCCUUUCUUCCCAGAACACUUCUGAUAGAACCCUUCAGUCACUGAGGGAGUAGCCCCCAGGGUUGGAGAAACACAUAACCUUGAGACAGAGGCUACAGUUGUAGCUUAUUUUCCUGUCCCCAAGCCAGUCCCAGUUCCACUUCAGAACAUGGCACCCUGCCCAAUUGGCCAAGUGUUGUGCUUAUUCUUCAAAGCAGCUUGGGUGUCUUUUUAAAAUGUGACAGUUAAGGAAAAACAAUAUAUAUAUAUAUAUAUAUAUAUAUAUAUAUAUAUAUAUAUAUAUAUAU